AAGAAUUAAAUGGAUGAAAUAUGAAGUUUUAUUAAAAGAAAAAGGGGUGAAAAGAACAAAGUUUUGUUCAUCUUUGUUCAUCAUAGCUGAAAGUUAGAGAAGAGAAAGGAGAGGAGAAAGCUCUUGAGUAUUUGGUCAUUAGGAGGAGGAAAAUUGAAGGCGGUUCGUGUGUGGAUCUCGUCAGCACAUCGUCGCAAACAG